UACAGAGGUCUCAAGCGUUGUUCGGAUUCAUUGGGCGUAAAGGGUGCGUAGGCGGCGCGGUAAGUCGGGUGUGAAAUCUCGGAGCUUAACUCCGAAACUGCAUUCGAUACUGCCGUGCUUGAGGACUGGAGAGGAGACUGGAAUUUACGGUGUAGCGGUGAAAUGCGUAGAUAUCGUAAGGAAGACCAGUGGCGAAGGCGGGUCUCUGGACAGUUCCUGACGCUGAGGCACGGAAGGUCAGGGGGAGCAAAACGGGG
rnacentral:rRNA from 1 species